rnacentral:tRNA from 1 species
GAAUGCGUUAUAUGUUAGUUUUGCAAAAACUAAAUUGGAUUUUUUAUUAAUCCCGUGUUUU